CCUACGGGAGGCAGCAGUGGGGAAUAUUGCACAAUGGGGGGGAACCCUGAUGCAGCGACGCCGCGUGGAGGAAGAAGGUCUUCGGAUUGUAAACUCCUGUUGUUGAGGAAGAUAAUGACGGUACUCAACAAGGAAGUGACGGCUAACUACGUGCCAGCAG
rnacentral:rRNA from 1 species